rnacentral:rRNA from 1 species
UACGUAUGGGGCAAGCGUUGUUCGGAAUUAUUGGGCGUAAAGGGCGUCUAGGCGGGGGAUUAAGUUAGGUGUGAAAGCCACGGGCUCAACCCGUGAACUGCAUCUAAGACUGGUUCUCUUGAGUUCGGGAGAGGAGAGCGGAAUUCCAGGUGUAGCGGUGAAAUGCGUAGAUAUCUGGAAGAACACCAGUGGCGAAGGCGGCUCUCUGGCCUAGAACUGACGCUGAAGCGCGAAAGCGUGGGGAGCAAACGGGAUUAGAAACCCCUGUAGUCC